rnacentral:rRNA from 1 species
GAUGAACGCUGGCGGCGUGCCUAAUACAUGCAAGUCGAGCGAACGGACGAGAAGCUUGCUUCUCUGAUGUUAGCGGCGGACGGGUGAGUAACACGUGGAUAACCUACCUAUAAGACUGGGAUAACUUCGGGAAACCGUAGCUAAUACCGGAUAAUAUUUUGAACCGCAUGGUUCAAAAGUGAAAGACGGUCUUGCUGUCACUUAUAGAUGGAUCCGCGCUGCAUUAGAUAGUUGGUAAGGUAACGGCUUACCAAGGCAACGAUGCAUAGCCGACCUGAGAGGGUGAUCGGCCACCCUGGAACUGAGACACGGUCCAGACUCCUACGGGAGGCAGCAGUAGGGAAUCUUCCGCAAUGGGCGAAAGCCUGACGGAGCAACGCCGCGUGAGUGAUGAAGGUCUUCGGAUCGUAAAACUCUGUUAUUAGGGAAGAACAUAUGUGUAAGUAACUGUGCACAUCUUGACGGUACCUAAUCAGAAAGCCACGGCUAACUACGUG